GAAAAUGAAGGCUGCUACAAUUGUUUUCUUUCUCUUGUUCUUAAAAGGAGUAAUGUCUUAUAAUAUUAGAGAAAAAAGACAAUAUGUGAAUGUCCCUGCACUACCUGGUCCAAAUCCUCCGAAAAGUUCGAGCAAUUCAGCAAAUAGUUCACCUUACUCAG